AGCAGCCGCGGUAAUUCCAGCUCCAAUAGCGUAUAUUAAAGUUGUUGCAGUUAAAAAGCUCGUAGUUGAACUUCGGGGUUUACUCAUUGGUCAGGCUUAAUUGUCUGUACUGGUGAGAUAAAUCUCUACCUUCUGAGGAACUUUCAUGCCAUUUAUUUGGUGUGAUUGGAAAUCAGGACUGUUACUUUGAAAAAUUGAGUGUUUAAAGCAGGCUAACGUCUGAAUACAUUAGCAUGGAAUAAUGAAAUAGGACGGAUUGAUUCUAUUUCGUUGGUUUCUAGGGUCACCGUAAUGAUUAAUAGGGAUAGUUGGGGGCAUUAGUAUUCAAUUGUCAGAGGUGAAAUUCUUGGAUUUUAUUGAAGACUAACUACUGCGAAAGCAUUUGCCAAGGAUGUUUUCAUUAAUCAAGAACGAAAGUUAGGGGAUCGAAGACGAUCAGAUACCGUCGUAGUCUUAAACCAUAAACUAUGCCGACUAGGAAUCAGACGAUGUUAAUUUCUAAUGACUCGUUUGCUACCG
rnacentral:misc_RNA from 1 species